AUGAUGCGACGAGCGAGUAUGAAGACUACCCUAGAUAUGAUGGAGCGGAGAUGCCACAUUCUGAUGAUGAGGAAGAAGCUGAAGAAGGAGAAGAGGGCUUGAGUAAAUGUAUAGGGAAGGAGUUGAAGAAACUUCUGUAGUGUCAUAGCUAUUGUAAAUAAUUUAUGUAAAAGUUUGUAAACAAUUUAUGUAUCUCUCUACUAUUUUGGUGAA